GUGUCGUUUGUUCGCGCAGGCCGGAGGGCGCGGAGCCGGCUCGGGAACCCAUGGAAGCGGCCCUGCUGCUGCCCCCGGUCUAUAUCUGCAGCCCGGAGUACCUGGCGCUGUGCGACUCGCUCUGCAAAGUGCCUAAACGGGCCAGUAUGGUGCAUUCUUUGAUCAAAGCAUAUUCCUUACUUGACCACAUGAGGAUAGUCAAGCCCAAAGUGGCUUCCAUGGAGGAGAUGGCAAGCUUUCACACUGAUGCCUAUCUGCAGCACCUCCAGAAGGUCAGCGAGGAGGGGGACGAUGACCACCCAGAGUCUGUGGAGUAUGGACUGGGUUAUGACUGUCCAGCCACUGAAGGUAUCUUUAACUAUGCAGCAGCUGUAGGAGGGGCCAGCAUCACAGCAGCCCAGUGUCUGAUGGACGGCAAGUGCAAGGUAGCAAUUAACUGGCCUGGAGGGUGGCAUCAUGCAAAGAAAGAUGAAGCUUCUGGCUUUUGCUACCUAAACGACGCCGUCCUGGGCAUCCUGUGGCUGCGUCGGAAAUUCGACCGCAUCCUUUAUAUUGACUUGGACUUGCAUCAUGGGGAUGGUGUGGAAGAUGCCUUUAGUUUCACCUCCAAAGUCAUGACUGUGUCUCUGCAUAAGUUUUCACCAGGAUUUUUCCCAGGAACAGGAGAUGUGUCCGAUGUUGGCCUGGGGAAGGGACGAUAUUACAGUGUCAACGUACCUAUCCAGGAUGGCAUUCAGGAUGAGAAAUAUUACCAGAUCUGCGAGACUGUGUUGAAGGAGGUGUACAUGGCAUUCAACCCAGAAGCGGUAGUCCUGCAGCUGGGAGCAGAUACGAUAGCCGGGGACCCCAUGUGUUCAUUUAACAUGACUCCAGUGGGGAUUGGCAAGUGUCUGAAGUAUGUUCUCCAGUGGCAGCUGGCUACUCUCAUCCUGGGAGGAGGAGGCUACAACCUUGCCAACACAGCCCGCUGCUGGACAUACUUGACCGGGGUCAUCCUGGGGAGAACGCUACCCUCCGAGAUCCCAGAUCACGAGUUUUUCACAAAGUAUGGUCCUGAUUACGUGCUGGAGAUCACACCGAGCUGCAGGCCAGACCGCAAUGAGCCACAUAAAGUCCAAGAAAUCCUCAGCAUCAUCAAAGAUGUACCCUUGGCUUGUGUAGGCCUCGGUUCCCCAUCUGUACUACCUCUUCCCUGCCUCCCAAGAGUGGUGGGGGUGAUUAUGGACGUUGUCCCCAUCACAAAAGCCAGUGUUACAACUGGGGACUCAACAUGGAGGACUAGAACUGAAUAACCAGUGGAGUCUGUCACCCAUUGGGAAGAUUUCUCAGGAUCAGGGACCAGGGAAUCUGAAGCAUGUGGUUUAGCUGAAAAGGAAAGCUCAUGUUUCCACAACAGCGGAGCGUUUCCUGUGCCAAAGACAGUGUGUUUAUGUGAACAGCUUGCGGAAUUCAUGGCUGCAGGGGAAAUUUGGAAGAAAUUAUUAUUUUUUUUUGAAGUUUCCAAGCAGCAGUGAGUGGCCCCAGUGCUGGGGGAUAGGGGAGCUCCCAACUUCCACCCCCUUGUUCCAACAGAUUCUGGCUUAUUUUUUACAAAACUGCUUUUAUUCUUGCAGAUGGUUUUUCUAAUUAUCUUUUUUAAGGGAGGUGGUGGGUGAGGGCCGCUCUGAGCCACAGACUCUCCACAGUCUGGCGCCUGUGCCACUUGUACUGGGCCGCCCUCCUGGUGGGACCACAGGCUGUAGGUGUAGACACUGUGACAUGAACUCCAGAGGGGAUACAUUGAGCGAUAGGCACAGGGCCUGUAAUCUUGGCUGCAGCCUUAUCUGGGGAGGGAGCCACAAACGUGUUUUUAAACAAAUAAAAGAGUUAAAAUAUU